AAAGAAAGAAAUAGGCACACUUAAAAUUCCUAAUAUUUUAGAGAGGGGAUGAAAUGCUGUUCUCUCUUCCAGAGCUUUCCCAGAGCCCGUUUUCAGAGAAGGAAUGGUGCCUCAAGAGGAUGAGAGUAGAAAGAGUUCAGUCCUUCAGCUUGGGAUGGAGCAGAUUAUCCGGAAUGAAAGUUGUGUAAUGUCCUGCUCAGUGAAGGCAUGCAUUCCUGGAAGAGCAGAGGUCCUGAGAAUGUCAAAAGCUCUUGAAAACAGGUCCAGUUUCCACUUUGCCAGACGCUAUGCCAAAGACUGCUCUGAGAGCUAAUUUUGGAUAAUGAGCAAUCAGCAAGGGCAGAACAUCCUUCUUUUCCCUCUCUGGAUUUUGCCAGCAAACAGCAGUAGGCUAGCAGCUCUACAUGGAAUCUCCUGGCCAGCAGCUCUCACCAGGAACAAGAGUCCAGGGCAGGAGCUUCAGAAAGACUACAGGAGCCAUGUGGACUUGAGAAACACUGCUCACAAUGAUGAAGCUGAGUCACAGAAAGGUUUCCAGAAUCUGGAUCACAACUGA
ensembl:lncRNA